UGGGGAAUCUUGCACAAUGGGCGCAAGCCUGAUGCAGCAACGCCGCGUGCGGGAAGACGGCCCUAGGGUUGUAAACCGCUUUCAGGAGGGAAGAAAAUGACGGUACCUCCAGAAGAAGGUGCGGCCAACUACGUGCCAGCAGCCGCGGUGACACGUAGGCACCAAGCGUUAUCCGGAUUUAUUGGGCGUAAAGAGCUCGUAGGCGGUUCGGUAAGUCGGGUGUGAAAAUCCAAGGCUCAACCUUGGGACGCCACCCGAUACUGCUGUGACUCGAGUGCAGUAGGGGAGCAGGGAAUUCCUGGUGUAGCGGUGAAAUGCGCAGAUAUCAGGAGGAACACCAGUGGCGAAGGCGCUGCUCUGGGCUGUAACUGACGCUGAGGAGCGAAAAGCAUGGGUAGCAAAACAGGAUUAGAUACCCUGGUAGUCCAUGCCGUAAAACGUUGGGCACUAGGUGUGGGUCUCAACCAAACGAGAUCCGCGCCGUCGCUAACGCAUUAAGUG
rnacentral:rRNA from 1 species